rnacentral:rRNA from 1 species
UACGGAGGGUGCAAGCGUUACUCCGGAUUCACUGGGUUUAAAGGGUGCGUAGGUGGGCAAGUAAGUCAGUGGUGAAAUCUCCGGGCUUAACCCGGAAACUGCCAUUGAUACUAUUUGUCUUGAAUACUGUGGAGGUCAGCGGAAUAUGUCAUGUAGCGGUGAAAUGCUUAGAUAUGACAUAGAACACCAAUUGCGAAGGCAGCUGGCUACACAAAUAUUGACACUGAGGCACGAAAGCGUGGGGAUCAAACAGG